rnacentral:rRNA from 1 species
CCCUUAGAUGUUCUGGGCCGCACGCGCGCUACACUGAUGCAUUCAACAAGCCUAGCCUUGACCGAGAGGUCCGGGUAAUCUUUGAAACUGCAUCGUGAUGGGGCUAGAUUAUUGCAAUUAUUAAUCUUCAACGAGGAAUGCCUAGUAAGCGUGAUUCAUCAAAUCGCGUUGAUUACGUCCCAGCCCUUUGUACACACCGCCCGUCGCUCCUACCGAUUGAAUGUGUUGGUGAGGAGCUCGGAUUGGCAGCAGUUGGUGGUUCGCCACCGGCUAUUGCUGAGAAGUCCUCCAAACCGCCCCAUUUAGAGGAAGGAGAAGUCGUAACA